CCUACGGGAGGCAGCAGUAGGGAAUAUUGCUCAAUGGGGGAAACCCUGAAGCAGCAACGCCGCGUGGAGGAUGAAGGUUUUCGGAUUGUAAACUCCUUUUGUUAGAGAAGAUAAUGACGGUAUCUCACGAAUAAGCACCGGCUAACUCCGUGCAAGCAGCCGCGGUAAUACGGAGGUUGCACGCGUUACUCGGAAUCACUGGGCGUAAAGAGCGCGUAGGCGGGAUAGCAAGUCAGAUGUGAAAUCCUCUGGCUUAACCCUAGAACUGCAUUUGAAACUAGUAUUCUAGAGUGUGGGAGAGGUAGGUGGAAUUCUUGGUGUAGCGGUAAAAUCCGUAGAGAUCAGGAGGAAUACUAGUUGCGAAGGCGACCUGCUAGAACAUAACUGACGCUGAUGCGCGAAAGCGUGGGGAGCAAACAGGAUUAGAUACCCUUGUAGUC
rnacentral:rRNA from 1 species